rnacentral:rRNA from 1 species
UACGGGGGGGGCAAGCGUUGUUCGGAAUUACUGGGCGUAAAGGGCUCGUAGGCGGCCAACUAAGUCGGACGUGAAAUCCCCAGGCUCAACCUGGGAACUGCGUCUGAUACUGGAAGGCUUGAAUCCGGGAGAGGGAUGUGGAAUUCCAGGUGUAGCGGUGAAAUGCGUAGAUAUCUGGAGGAACACCGGUGGCGAAGGCGACAUCCUGGACCGGUAUUGACGCUGAGGCGCGAAAGCCAGGGGAGCAAACGGG